rnacentral:rRNA from 1 species
AUAUUGCACAAUGGGGGAAACCCUGAUGCAGCAACGCCGCGUGGGUGAAGGAGCGUUUCGGCGCGUAAAGCCCUGUCAGCGGGGAAGAAGAAAGACGGUACCCGACCAAGAAGCCCCGGCUAGCUACGCACCAGCAGCCGCGGUAAUACGUAGGGGGCGAGCGUUAUCCGGAAUUACUGGGUGUAAAGGGAGCGUAGACGGCGGGGUAAGCCUGAAGUGGAAGCCCGCGGCCCAACCGCGGAACUGCUUUGGGAACUGUUUUGCUGGAGUAUGGGAGGGGUAAGCGGAAUUCCUGGUGUAGCGGUGAAAUGCGUAGAUAUCAGGAGGAACACCGGUGGCGAAGGCGGCUUACUGGACCAUAACUGACGUUGAGGCUCGAAAGCGUGGGGAGCGAACAGG